rnacentral:tRNA from 1 species
AAGGCAUUAAUAAAAUAAUUAUAUAACUUUGUCAAAGUUAAAUUAUAGGUUAAAACCCUUUAUGCCUUU